UUUGAAAUCUGGCCCUUACGGGGUCCGAGUUGUAAUCUGUAGAGGAUGCUUUUGGCGACGCGCCUUCCGAGUCCCCUGGAACGGGGCGCCAGAGAGGGUGAGAGCCCCGUAUGGUUGGACGCCGAACCUCUGUAAAGCUCCUUCGACGAGUCGAGUAGUUUGGGAAUGCUGCUCAAAAUGGGAGGUAAAUUUCUUCUAAAGCUAAAUACCGGCCAGAGACCGAUAGCGCACAAGUAGAGUGAUCGAAAGAUGAAAAGCACUUUGAAAAGAGGGUUAAAUAGCACGUGAAAUUGCUGAAAGGGAAGCGCUUGUGACCAGACUUGCGCCCGGUUGAUCAUCCAGCGUUCUCGCUGGUGCACUCUGCCGGGCUCAGGCCAGCAUCGGCUCUCCCAGGGGGAUAAAGGUCGCGGGAACGUAGCUCUCUCCGGGGAGUGUUAUAGCCCGUGGCGGAAUGCCCUUAGGGGGGGCCGAGGCCCGCGUUCGCAAGGAUGCUGGCGUAAUGGUCACCAGCGACCCGUCUUGAAACACGGACCAAGGAGUCAAGCAUUAGGGCGAGUCUUUGGGUGCAAAACCCGCAGGCGCAAUGAAAGUGAACGGAGGUGAGAGCUUCGGCGCAUCAUCGACCGAUCCUGAUGUUCUCGGAUGGAUUUGAGUAAGAGCCUUACCGCUUGGACCCGAAAGAUGGUGAACUAUGCCUGAAUAGGGUGAAGCCAGAGGAAACUCUGGUGGAGGCUCGCAGCGGUUCUGACGUGCAAAUCGAUCGUCAAAUUUGGGCAUGGGGGCGAAAGACUAAUCGAACCAUCUAGUAGCUGGUUACCGCCGAAGUUUCCCUCAGGAUAGCAGUGUUGUCUUCAGUUUUAUGAGGUAAAGCGAAUGAUUAGGGACUCGGGGGCGCUAUUUAGCCUUCAUCCAUUCUCAAACUUUAAAUAUGUAAGAAGCCCUUGUUGCUUAGUUGAACGUGGGCAUUCGAAUGUACCAACACUAGUGGGCCAUUUUUGGUAAGCAGAACUGGCGAUGCGGGAUGAACCGAACGCGGAGUUAAGGUGCCAGAGUGGACGCUCAUCAGACACCACAAAAGGCGUUGAUACAUCUUGACAGCAGGACGGUGGCCAUGGAAGUCGGAAUCCGCUAAGGACUGUGUAACAACUCACCUGCCGAAUGUAUCAGCCCUGAAAAUGGAUGGCGCUCAAGCGUCCCACCC
rnacentral:rRNA from 1 species